rnacentral:rRNA from 1 species
UACAGGGGGGGCAAGCGUUGUUCGGAAUUACUGGGCGUAAAGGGCUCGUAGGCGGCCAACUAAGUCACACGUGAAAUCCCCAGGCUCAACCUGGGAACUGCGUGUGAUACUGGAUGGCUUGAAUUCGGGAGAGGGAUGCAGAAUUCCAGGUGUAGCGGUGAAAUGCGUAGAUAUCUGGAGGAAUACCGGUGGCGAAGGCGGCAUCCUGGACCGACAUCGACGCUGAUGAGCGAAAGCUAGGGGAGCAAACGGG